rnacentral:rRNA from 1 species
CAGUAGCCGCGGGAAUACGUAGGGUGCAAGCGUUAAUCGGAAUUACUGGGCGUAAAGCGUGCGCAGGCGGUUAUAUAAGACAGAUGUGAAAUCCCCGGGCUCAACCUGGGAACUGCAUUUGUGACUGUAUAGCUAGAGUACGGCAGAGGGGGAUGGAAUUCCGCGUGUAGCAGUGAAAUGCGUAGAUAUGCGGAGGAACACCGAUGGCGAAGGCAAUCCCCUGGGCCUGUACUGACGCUCAUGCACGAAAGCGUGGUGAGCAAACAGGAUUAGAUACCCGUGUAGUCCCUGUCUCUUAUAC